GCGUAAUUGGUGUAGUGGUAACAUUAAUCGUUGCCAUCCGAAGCAAUGAUUUCGAUUAGCCCUGGGUUCGAUUCCCAGAUUACGCA
rnacentral:tRNA from 1 species